UACGGGGGGGGCAAGCGUUGUUCGGAAUUACUGGGCGUAAAGAGCUCGUAGGUGGUUUGUCGCGUUGUUCGUGAAAUCUCACGGCUUAACUGUGAGCGUGCGGGCGAUACGGGCAGACUGGAGUACUGCAGGGGAGACUGGAAUUCCUGGUGUAGCGGUGGAAUGCGCAGAUAUCAGGAGGAACACCGGUGGCGAAGGCGGGUCUCUGGGCAGUAACUGACGCUGAGGAGCGAAGCGUGGGGAGCGAACAGG
rnacentral:rRNA from 1 species